GACGAACGCUGGCGGCGUGCCUAAUACAUGCCAGUUGAGCGCUGAAGGUUGGUACUUGUACCAACUGGAUGAGCAGCGAACGGGUGAGUAACGCGUGGGGAAUCUGCCUUUGAGCGGGGGACAACAUUUGGAAACGAAUGCUAAUACCGCAUAAAAACUUUAAACACAAGUUUUAAGUUUGAAAGAUGCAAUUGCAUCACUCAAAGAUGAUCCCGCGUUGUAUUAGCUAGUUGGUGAGGUAAAGGCUCACCAAGGCGAUGAUACAUAGCCGACCUGAGAGGGUGAUCGGCCACAUUGGGACUGGGACACGGCCCAAACUCCUACGGGAGGCAGCAGUAGGGAAUCUUCGGCAGUGGACGAAAGUCUGGCCGCGCAACGCCGCGUGAGUGAAGAAGGUUCUCGGAUCGUAAAACUCUGUUGGUAGAGAAGAACGUUGGUGAGAGUGGAAAGCUCAUCAAGUGACGGUAACUACCCAGAAAGGGACGGCUAACUACGUG
rnacentral:rRNA from 1 species